rnacentral:antisense_RNA from 1 species
GUUGGCAGCGUUCUUGUGUCAAUGUUAAACAAAUCAAACCUCUACCAUAAGUAGCCAUAAAGUUAAUAUCUUCUUUGGUAAUUUUUUCAGCAGCUAUCA